GGUCCCACUGCUGGGAUGUGAGGCAGCAGAAAGCAGACUGUUUGGUUUUUAUGUCAAAUGUUCACACAGGAAGGAAAGGAGGGAUUUUAUAUGUCAUAGUUUUUUUUGAAAAAGCAGCUCAGAAUACAUCAAAGGACACACUGUCAGAUUGCAGGGCAGUCUGCAAAAAAUACCUCAGUAUGUGAAAGUAAAAAUAAAUAAAUACAUAGAUCUGGAGAGACAAGAGGAAGGGGAGAACAGGCUGAAGAAAAGAAAAGGAAAUGGAGUAAAGACAUAUAAAAAUAGAAACCACAAUUUGCAGGCUAUGUAGGUAAAAUUAAUCAAAAAUUUCAGAAAUUCCUCCUUCCUUUUCUUGAGAAAGUAUUUUUAGAUUUCUAUCAAAUUUAAAGAGAAAAGUCAUAGCACUACUAAAGGACAAAAAUGACAGAGAAGUGGAGGAGCAUCUUAAUAUAUGUUUACACACAUAUAUAAAUAGCUAUAUAUUAUACAUGUACACACACAGAUACACACAUCAUACAUGUAGCAUAUACUGACCUUAACCUUUCUUUAGUACAAGUUCAGAAUGACAUUUUCAAAACUGUCCUUUAAAAAUUCAAUAAAAUUUCUAGCACUUUAAGAAAAUGUAUGACUUUUCUCAGUGAAUAAUUCCACAGUUUAAUUACCCUUUUUAAUUAUAUCAUCUCCCCCACUCCUCUCACCAAAAAAAUUUGUAUCUGGAAUUGGUGUUGGCUCAGAUAUGCCUGGAAACAUUUUUAACAGAUAUAGUCUCUUCUCAGGAAAAGCUUACAAAGGAAAAAAAAAAAAGAUAAUACUAAUAAAAUGUAAAGUGAUGAUAUUAUACAUAGAGAUUUACAAUUCAAAGUUAGGAGGAGGGGAGAAAUUCUGUUAUACAGAUCAUUUCUUUUACAACUACAGGCAUGUUUAGUCAUGAUAACCAUCACAUCUCACCCCUUCCACAUGACAGGAAGUAUAUACAUUAUAUAAAGAGAGAGAAAAAAUAUAUUCUAGAGAGAAGAGAGAGGCC
rnacentral:lncRNA from 1 species